CCCUUAGAUGUUCUGGGCCGCACACGCGCUACACUGAAGGAGGCAGCGUGUACUCCUGGAUCGAAAGAUUUGGGUAACCCGCGAAUCUCCUUCGUGCUAGGGAUUGAGGUUUGCAAUUAUCCUUCAUGAACGAGGAAUUCCCAGUAAGUGCAAGUCAUAAGCUUGCGCUGACUACGUCCCUGCCCUUUGUACACACCGCCCGUCGCUACUACCGAUUGAAUGGUCCGGUGAAGCGCUCGGACCGCGGCCUCUUGACGGUUCGCUGUCGAUUGGCUGUGGGAAGUUCGUUAAACCUUAUCAUUUAGAGGAAGGAGAANUCGUANCA
rnacentral:rRNA from 1 species